GCGGGGCUUCAGAAAUGGGGGUACCACUGUACCAAGAUGUUGAAAUUGCGUUUGGAAAGACUCCCAGACUUGCUCGCUUAAGGAAAAUUUUUCAAAUAUUGUGAGUAAAAAAGCGUUUUUAAAGCGUAUGAGUUGGUCAUGUCCAAAUAAUUUAGCGCCUUUUUGAACUGGAAUUUCUAAUGGAACUGAGAGCUAACCAGCUUAAACAAAUACUAUGUUGUGGCAUGGAAUUGGAAAUAUUGGCAGUUAGCCAGUUACCUACUACAUAGUUGAUAUGAGUUUGUCCAAAUGCUUUCUGAAACCUCAGGAAAAAUCUGUAAAGCCGCUACGUAUAACAUCAUGACCAAAGUUUUCUCUUCAGAUCUUGCAAAGCAAUAUAGCUAUCAUGGCUUACACACGCAAACAUUGACUUGACUUCGAAUAUCACUGUGGUGAACUAGUCAGUGAUGAUAUCCAGAAUUGGAGUUGCGCACACUUGCUUACUAUGGCUUUGCUUUCAUGGAACCAUAAAAUGCACACUGCUUUUCCCUGUAUCUUAGCCAUUUGCUGGCUGAGUCAACUAGUGUAUUUUCCCAAGAAUUCCUGUCACGCCAUAGACCAGCUUAUGUGAACAAAAUUUAAUGUGAAAAAUUGUGUCGUAUAAAACUGUUUGAUGUUGUCUUUCCAAAAGAAAAAAAGAAGUAUGAACAUCAAUUAAUAUUUCAUCUAAGCAUGAAAUGUGCUCAAUACUUUCGGCCCCUGAAUGUAGAAUUUUGAUGACCUAGAUGGAUUAUCCUUCUAUUAACGUGACUUGAGGUAAGAUCUAACGAUCAUAUGCUGCAGGUAACAAGAUGGUCGCUUUUUUAUGGUAUGUUGAACCAUUGAACUUACUGGAAGCGCUUCUCUUUGCUCCCUAAAUGGCACACAAAAUUCAGAAAGUUAUCAAAAAACUCUGGAUGAGCAUUUUUGCUGUUUGGUGAACUCAUAGGUGUUUCCAUUUGAAUCUUUCAGCAAGACAACACAUCGAUCGACACUUCUCAUUGCACAAAAGAAUAGUUUACUUCUCAGAAUAUCACUAUGGUGAACUAGGUAGUACUCGACUCCAAUCAGAUUUCAAUCCAUAGAGAAUAUCUAGGAAUCCUUUCACCUGACUUCUGUAAGAAUGGAAGGCAGUGUUAUUCAGUGUUCAGUGCAUGAGUUCAAAUCAGCAGUUAAGAAACCUAGCGCAGAUAUACUCCCAAAACUUUCCAUAAUCUUGCAUUAUCAAUGGAAAAUCACAUUUUGUCAGGGGCAAUGGUUAGUAUCAUGACAGUUUAUUCAGGUGAUUUUCUGCUAUUUUAGUCUGCUUAGCAACUGAACAAUUGAUAAUAGGAACUGAUGAUUUAACAUCUGUGUCUUUUCUCUAAAACUAAAAUGAGUUCUUUGAAUGUGACAAUAUUAGAAAGUAACAAUUUGCAUUCAUUUUGUACUAGGGUACUGCACUAUAACUUUCAUUCAUUGUUUAAAAAAUGCAUUUGUUUACCAAUUGUCAAAUAUGUAAAUUUGUUUACUAUUUGGUUGCCUAAAAUUACUCGACUGAACCAAAUAUUUGGUUUGCCUGCGGAAUAUGCGGUAUACUGAAUACCAACUGCAUAUUUGGUGCAUCUCUAAAUGUAACCGAUAUAGGUUAAUAAAG